GAAAACCAUUCGCAGAUUGGUGGAUAUUAUUCAUAUGAAAUAAGUGAUAUUGUUACAAUCCGUACCAUUGUCCAUUUAUACUUUGACUUUAUAUAUUUUUCGAACACAUACUAUACCCGAAUAUAAACAAUCGAUACUACAGCCGGUUAACAUACAACUUGAUGGUUCAGUACAAUUUCUUGUUUUCUAAAUUAGAACGAAAUAAAGAAGUAAACCUCACUACAACAUAACAUCAUUAUUUCUGGUAUGGUACUGCGUGAUACAGUAUGUUAUAUCAUCUAUAGCAAACAAAAAAUCCUCGCGAUGUCACACAUACAUCACCAAAUUGUAACAUCGGAAGAUUAAACUACGAUAUGCAUUAAACUUUGGCAAUAAGUAUGUGUCAUCCUCGGUGUCAUCUGCGUAAAAUCACUUCCGAACAGUAGCCAAGACAGCAGUUAGAAAGAAAUCCCGGCCAGCUUGCUCAACUCGAUUUUAGUUUUCUAUAUCCAGUUCUGUUUCUUAUGUUCCAGAAGAAAAAAACAAUCCUCCACGGACGAAAUUUUUUUUUCAUCAGAUUGACCACAAAAGUGACCGACCAAAAGUGAUUCGACCUCUGAUAAUGAGGAAAACACUACAUUCUCAAGAGCAUCUACCGCAGUCGGCUCUGAAAAUCUACAAUAUUGCUGUUUGACACGGACUGAUGAAUUAUAAUGUUUACCAAUUCCAUCCGAACAAAUUUAAUCAAUAAAAAUAUGUUAUGAAAUCAUGUUUAGAUUUGUGUUAUUAUUUUCAUUUAAUUUCUUCACCACUAUUGCAAAAAAUAUGAAAAAUAACAACAUCAAAGAAUAUGGUACGAACCUGGGUAUGGCUUUUUGCCUGUAUGGUCAUAUUGUAUCAUUAUUAUAUCCCUAAUUGUAUUCAUCUGAGAAUGAGGAUUGUAUCAGCACCACAACAUAUGCUGUAUACCGAAAAAUAUGUACUGGAAAAUAGCCAUUUUUGAAUGGUAAUUAUACUUAACCGCCUAUUACCCAGAUAGUACAUUUGUCGAACACAAUAUAUCAUGUUGUUGAAACCAUUUAUGGUGAUGCAUGCUUAUUGUUUCUACAUAUAACAACCAGAAUAGUA